rnacentral:misc_RNA from 1 species
UUGACUUGCACAAAGUACCUACACGCCAACCCGGGUCUCGCCGGCAGUUUGUCUUCUGGACAAGUUCAAUUGUUUUUGUUUAGGGUAAUACUUCAAGCAAACUGAGAUCUCUGUCACGAUAUUCUUGCAAGGGUAGUGCCGUUCGUCGCAUCCCCACGCCAGAUUCACACAACAGGGUGAUAUUCCCUACUGACUGGACGACACAGGUUUGGAUGUACUGAGGGUACCGACAGGUGUGUGUUGGUCCUUGUCAUGCGUUUCACCCUGAAGGUACCACUAAGUUUGCUAUUUGUGUUUGGACUGUGUGUAUUUUUGGCUCUAAUAUCGUCAAAACAUUCUACCACACGGUCAAAAACAUUUGUGCAGGACUUACUUGAAGACGGGGAGGUACACUGUGAAGGGACAGAGACUGGACAGAGCACUCCCCAGAGUACAACGCGAGGUGGCCCCCCAAACCCCCUCAUUGCCAACUAUGGCCACAAUGACAUGUCUCAGACAGGGGAGAAUGGGCGCGGUGUUGUCUUUGUUGGCGAGGAGCAGGAAGCAGCGGAGAAGUCUCUGUCUGAGUACCGGGUGAACAUCCUGGCCAGCGACCUGACCCCACUCAACAGGAGGGUGCCAGACUCCCGCCCCCAAAGCUGCCGCAACUUGACGUAUCCUGUAGACGGUCUACCCACAACCACCGUCAUCGUGCCUUUCUAUGACGAGUGGCCGUCACUGCUGUUGAGGACAGUCUACAGUAUCAUCAACAGAACGCCGACGUCCCUGCUCAAGGAAGUCAUCCUUGUUGAUGAUGCUAGCACUAUGGAGAGUUUAAAGUCGCAACUGGAUGAAUAUGUCUCUGAGCACUUUCCGAAGUAUCUGGUUAGAAUACUGCGUGUGCGGGAGCGUAGAGGACUGAUUCAGUCCCGACUGGCGGGAUGGAGAGCAGCCAGGGGCGAGGUCCUCGUCUUCCUGGACAGUCACAUGGAGAUGAACGUGCAGUGGCUGGAGCCGUUGUUGAUGGAGAUUCGGAAGAACAAGAGGACGCUGGCGAUGGGCGUCCUUGACUACAUCGAUGCGACUACGCUCAAGUACAGCAUCAGGCCAGAUUACGUAAUCAAAUACGGAUUUAACUGGAAGCUUACAUUCUUCGAAUACUUUUUCCGACAUGAAGAAAUCGGACCCCAGUUCCAUUCUACGAGAAGGGGCGCUACAAUGGUAGGGGCAGCGUUUGCGGUAGACAAGCAGUACUUUGCAGACAUCGGAUCCUAUGAUGAAGGAAUGAAGAUCUGGGGUGGGGAGAAUCUUGAGCUGUCAUGGAGGGUGUGGCUGUGUGGGGGUCAGCUGGUCCAUGUCCCGUGUUCACACCAGGGGCAUAUCGCCCGACCCCAGCCCUACUCCUUCCCUGGGGGUAGACGUCAAGUAGAAGUGUACAACUACAAGCGUGCUGUCGACGUUUGGAUGGGAUCCCUAAAGAAAUAUGUGUACCAGAACUAUCCCGAAAUGGCAGAACUAGACGUUGGCAGUAUUUCAGGUCGACUACAACUAAAGGAACAACUAAAAUGUAAGGACUUCUCCUGGUACAUACAGAAUGUCUGGCCGGAGCUGCUGAUGUACGACGUCGGCGUUGUUGCCUGGGGGUCGGCCCGGAAUCAGUACACCAACACAUGCUUAGACAACAAUGGUGCCCUGUAUCCUGGGAAUCUCUACAUGUAUGAGUGCCACUACUACCUGGACACACAGAAUUGUCAGCUCCAACGUUUACUGAGCUUGGGUCGGCCCAUGCGUCAGUGUCGGCACGGGCUCCAGGGAAAGGGAUAAGUGUCCAGGUUAAGGGUACUAUAGCUGGUGUCCUGAGAAACGAAUCUAGAGCAAGGGUUGCAGGGGGUUUUCGGUGAGCACGGAGGGCUACCUGCGCACCUCCCUGGCGUCUGUUGUGUUUGAUGGUGAAAAUGCUGAAGAGAAACCUACCCUGCAGUCCUAUGGUGUAGGGACGCCGAGCA